UACAGGAGGCCCGAGCGUUAGUCGGAAUCACUGGGCUUAAAGGGUGCGUAGGCGGGCCUGUAAGUAUCUCGUGAAAUCCCCCGGCUCAACCGGGGAAUGGCGGGGUAAACUACAGGUCUUGAGGUCGGUAGGGGUCGCUGGAACGCUCGGUGGAGCGGUGAAAUGCGUAGAGAUCGAGCGGAACGCCGAAGGUGAAGACAAGCGACUGGGCCGAAUCUGACGCUGAGGCACGAAAGCGUGGGGAGCAAACAGG
rnacentral:rRNA from 1 species